rnacentral:lncRNA from 1 species
CUUACAUAUUGAAAAGAAUGUCAUUUAUUGUCCUCUUGUGACAUCAUGUGCACUUAAAAAGAACCUUAACAGUUUUCAAGUGGUUAUUUGAACAGUCACACUUGUUCAGAUGAAGUAUUAGAUGUAGCCUUAGCAAGACUAGAUAACUCUCUAAAUAGAUUCUCUGAAUCUAUUUUCUCCUACAAAAAACUUGGUCAAUAACUUAUUUUAGGCUUAAGAAUUGAACUACCUCAUAUAAAGAAGCUAGCACAGUCAUCAAUAUAUAUGUUAAUUCCCAUCACCUUAACUAGUUUAAAAUGCCUAUCAGCAGUAUCAUGAAGGCAAAGCAUAACAGAAAUAAAAAAAGCCACAAAAAUAUAAAAUCGCUAUUUAUACCAUUAGUUAAAUCCAUAAAGAACUUAGAUACUGUUCUUAUCCUUAGACUUUAGUGAAAUUACUUCAGAAUUACACUAGGUUUUGAUCAUAUUAAGUUAGUUAGACAAUAGGAACCUCCAAGAACUGACGUGAAAGAUUAUAUAUACAAUGACAGAGCAAAGUCAGGUUUACAAAAUGAU